AUACUUCCCUGACGUAGAGGACUACCACGAUCAAAUAAGUGGUUUCUACAAGGUGAGACCUGCCCAUUGCUCAUAGGGUGGGCUGCCCUUGCGAGUAUUUCUAAUGUAUAUACCUCGAACGAGUCGAGUCGGACGCAUAAUUUUUUAUAGCCGGGACUCUGUUCGUGCAGUCAUAGU